GAUGAACGCUGGCGGCGUGCCUAAUACAUGCAAGUCGAGCGAACGGACGAGAAGCUUGCUUCUCUGAUGUUAGCGGCGGACGGGUGAGUAACACGUGGAUAACCUACCUAUAAGACUGGUAUAACUUCGGGAAACCGUAGCUAAUACCGGAUAAUAUUUUGAACCGCAUGGUUCAAAAGUGAUAGACGGUCUUGCUGUCACUUAUAGAUGGAUCCGCGCUGCAUUAGCUAGUUGGUAAGGUAACGGCUUACCAAGGCAACGAUGCAUAGCCGACCUGAGAGGGUGAUCGGCCACACUGGAACUGAGACACGGUCCAGACUCCUACGGGAGGCAGCAGUAGGGAAUCUUCCGCAAUGGGCGAAAGCCUGACGGAGCAACGCCGCGUGAGUGAUGAAGGUCUUCGGAUCGUAAAACUCUGUUAUUAGGGAAGAACAUAUGUGUAAGUAACUGUGCACAUCUUGACGGUACCUAAUCAGAAAGCCACGGCUAACUACGUG
rnacentral:rRNA from 1 species